GACGAACGCUGGCGGCGUGCUUAACACAUGCCAGUCGAACGGAAAGGCCCUGCUUUUGUGGGGUGCUCGAGUGGCGAACGGGUGAGUAACACGUGAGUAACCUGCCCUUGACUUUGGGAUAACUUCAGGAAACUGGGGCUAAUACCGGAUAGGAGCUCCUGCUGCAUGGUGGGGGUUGGAAAGUUUCGGCGGUUGGGGAUGGACUCGCGGCUUAUCAGCUUGUUGGUGGGGUAGUGGCUUACCAAGGCUUUGACGGGUAGCCGGCCUGAGAGGGUGACCGGCCACAUUGGGACUGAGAUACGGUCCAGACUCCUACGGGAGGCAGCAGUGGGGAAUAUUGCACAAUGGGCGGAAGCCUGAUGCAGCAACGCUGCGUGCGGGAUGACGGCCUUCGGGUUGUAAACCGCUUUCGCCUGUGACGAAGCGUGAGUGACGGUAAUGGGUAAAGAAGCACCGGCUAACUACGUG
rnacentral:rRNA from 1 species